AUUGAACGCUGGCGGCAGGCCUAACACAUGCAAGUCGAACGAGUGGCGGACGGGUGAGUAAUGUCUGGGAAACUGCCUGAUGGAGGGGGAUAACUACUGGAACCGGUAGCUAAUACCGCAUACCAUCAGAUUUGCCCAGAGGGGAGUAGCUAGUUGGUGGGGUAACGGCUCACCAAGGCCACGAUCCCUAGCUGGUCGGAGAGGAUGACCAGCCAAAUUGGAACUGAGAAACGGUCCAGACUCCUACUGGAGGCAGCAGUGGGGAAUAUUGCACAAGGGGCGCAAGCCUGAUGCAGCCAUGCCGCGUGUAUGAAGAAGGCUUUCGGGUUGUAAAGUACUUUCAGCGGGGAGGCGUUACCCGCAGAAGAAGCACCGGCUAACUCCGUGCCAGCAGCCGCGGUAAUAC
rnacentral:rRNA from 1 species